rnacentral:sRNA from 1 species
GCCGGGCGUGGUGGCUCACGUCUGUAAUCCCAGCACUUUGGGAGGCUGAGGCGGGUGGAUCACCUGAGGUCAGGAGUUCGAGAGCAGCCUGGCCAACAUGGUGAAACCCCGCCUCUA